rnacentral:rRNA from 1 species
UGGGGAAUAUUGCACAAUGGGCGCAAGCCUGAUGCAGCCAUGCCGCGUGUGUGAAGAAGGCCUUCGGGUUGUAAAGCACUUUCAGCGGGGAGGAAGGCGAUAAGGUUAAUAACCUCAUCGAUUGACGUUACCCGCAGAAGAAGCACCGGCUAACUCCGUGCCAGCAGCCGCGGUAAUACGGAGGGUGCAAGCGUUAAUCGGAAUUACUGGGCGUAA